rnacentral:lncRNA from 1 species
CCCUUCUUCUGGCCGCAUCCUCCUACCACUGAUGAAAGCAACCAGACGCGCUCUCUGCUCAUCAGGGACAUCGGGUUAGGGUUCGGACUGAUCUGUGCCUUAAUGCCCGGGAUCGCCACAGGGAUGUGUCUCAUCAUCAAAACUUUAGACGAUAACACUUUCCUGAGAGACGUUGAAGAGUUUAGGAUAAACACAAUCGCGAUCGUGCCCUUGAAUUUCCCGACGGUGCUGCGCGUGGGCAGUGAGCGCCAGGAUUUGCUCAAGCAUUUCCGGCACGUGCUUGUGAGUGGCGCCCCUAUUCCGAAGGCCCACGCCACCGCUGUGGCCAGCACCAUGCCUGGGGUC